GCUAGACAGUGUCCCUAGGAUUAUCUCUGGUUACCCCCAGCACUCCGUGAUUCCCGUCUUUGGAAAUUACUACAGGCCUAAGAACCAGCCUUUGCUGCAAUAAUGGAGCCAUAGCUCUGAAAGGCAGCAGCUUAAACCACACACAUUUACGUUUCCCUCGCGGGAGCUGUGGCUGUGGCUCUGCAAAUGCUGCUGGGCUCUGUCGGACUUGGCUCCAGCACGUUGAGGAAGGUCCAGGUGGGCUCUCUCGUCUCAUUUUGGGACCAAGACUGAAGGGGGCUCCAAUGCACUGCUGAGGCUUUUGUCAUGUUGUGUGUGUGGCCACACAACCAUCUGCCUCCCUGAGGGCCGUUCACUCCACUACUGGAUCUUCCGGUUGGGCCUCUGUGCCUCCCUGCCCCUGACCCUAAGGCCCAACCAUUUCCUGCCUGGGUAUGACCGAGAUGCACGCUAAUUAUUGUCCUGUCCUCUUGGGUUCCAAGAGACAAACUCCCCAGGGGAAAAGAAGCUGAGCUUGGAAUUCUAUGGAAGCACGGAUUGUUCAGCCUCCCACCCGGUCUCUUCAGGAUGUGUCCGCAGAGAGCAUGCUACCAAACCAUGGGCGCCUUGGAAGGUCUAAUGCUCUGGCACUGAGGUCUGUUCUCCUGGCCGCAGCUCAAGUCAAUGCCAGGCGGAAUGAACAACGGAAGGGGAGAAAAUGGUCGCGUGUCAUCAAUGGAAUCAACCGUAUUUACUACAAAGCGACUCUAGACACAACACGGAAGCUCAAGAUUCUUCCAAAGUUAGACGACGGACUUGAAUUCUUAAAGUAAGCUCCUGAUCUAAUUUUAACUUUUGGUUUGUGACAUUGGCUUAGUUAAUAGGCAAAAUGGUGUCUCAUUUUUUUGGUUAUUUGUUUUGUGAAUCGCCUAUUUGUGUGUUCUGCUCAUUAUUCCUCCCAAGUCCUGGUUUCUUUCCUAUUACAAUAUAAUAGUACUUCAUAUAUUCAGACUUGUGACCUUUUCUUUGCAACAUCUGUCAUAAAUAUUUUCCUCUGGUUUGACAUUUAUCUUUUAGUUCUGUUUAUGAUUUUUCUGUCUUUGAAAUGUUUUGAGUUUCAAGGUAGAAAUAAAUAAAUAAAGUCUUUUCCUUUGGGAUAUUGUCGAUUGCCUUUUUUUUCUUAGUAAAACCUUCGCUACUCUGAAAUCAGAGAGAUUUUUGUCAAUUUUUUGUCUUAAAUUUUUUGAAUUCAACUAUUUAAUCCUUCCAUAAUGCAUUUUUAGAAUGUCGUGUGAGAGAAAGAUCUAAAUUAGUAAUUUUCCCUAAUAGUUGACUCUCCUAUUCAUUGUUAUUGAGUAAUUCACUCUUUUUUCAUUUAUGAAACGUAAAGCAUUAUACAAAUAGCAUCGUUCAUUUUUAAAAAUUAGAAAAUAAAAAAAAAACAA
rnacentral:lncRNA from 1 species